GUAGCCACCGGCCUACGCCAGAGCCACAGCAACGCGGGAUCCGAGCCGCGUCUGCAACCUACACCACAGCUCACGGCAACGCCGGAUCCUUAACCCACUGAGCAAGGGCAGGGACCGAACCCGCAACCUCAUGGUUCCUAGUCGGAUUCGUUAACCACUGCGCCACAACGGGAACUCCCCUAUCAUUUUUUUUAUUAGAAUCUACAUUAUGUUACUUGAAGCGAAAGGCAACAUCCUAAGUGAUACAGCAUCAUAGGCUUUUUAUUAGUAAUCCGGCAGAUCCAGCAAACGUAUUCCCAAACUUUAAUCCAAAUUUCUUUAGACCGCUGCCAAUGCUUGGAUGCUCCUUCAAAGUAUAGCGAGAGCUGCACAAGGCAGGCAUUGUCAGCCCUGAAGACAACUGUACAAGACAACCUCGAGAUGUUUCAAACUACGGUGAUUCCAUGACUGAGUGGCAGAAUAAACGCAACAACCCGCAUUUGGUGAUAAUAUUUAGUCAAAAAAGUCAUUUAUUUUGAGUCCGUCAUAAAUGUAAGUAAAACCAAAUGCUGAUUAAAGCCAUAGUAGGAAAAACCUAUGAAUAUAAUCAUUAAUUACCUUCUUAGUUUUCGUUCAGCUGUCAAGAAAAAUGUAUUAGCUUAAAACCAUAUGUGAGGGUUGUUGGGCUAAAUUUGGACUCUGGUUUAUUUUCAUUCUAUCUCCUAGCAAGUGUUGAAAAUCAUUUUUGGACGACUUUCCAAAAUAUAACCUGUCUUUUAAGUUUUCAAGAGGAAAUUGAAAUUUCACUCAAUGCAGCUCAGGUGAUGUUUUUCUUGAUUUUUCCAACAGUUUGGUCCUAACCUGGUGACUCUUUUUUUAUUAGUGCAGACACUGGAUUGUGUAGUCACGGAUGGUCUGGGAAAGAGCAAACAAGGAACAUCAAGGCUCUAUCACUCCACUUUCCCACCAGAGGUCCUCGCCAGGGAGUCAUCUUUCAAAUAAGAAAAUAAGAAAACUUACAGUUCUGAUGACAAAGCACACCCUUAAACUCCAGAUGAGGCAGAGUCCUAUCUAAAUAUUCAGUCAACCAGAGGAAGUAUCAGAGUAUUCAUCUGCUCUCAAGCGGGGGAAGAAUGGACACAAAAUUAAAAGAAACUUUGAUAGAACAUAAGAAAUAUCACAGCACUAAAAUAUUUAUACUUUACGAGCUCCCCUGUGGCUCAGUCGGUUAAGGAUCUGGCAUUUUCACUGCCGUGGCUCUGGUUCCUACAGUGGCGAGGGUUAGAUCCCUGGCCUGGGAACUUCCACAUGACAUGGGUACAGCCCAAAACAAAAAACAAAGAACCAGGCGAGGCCAUGAGUAUCAAUUUUAGCUGAGGAGAAAAAAAGCAAAAUUCAAGCUACCAAAUAGCAUUUACCUAACAAAUGCCAAAAAUUGGGAGAGCACAGUGAACAUGGAGCCCCACCACUGAACAGCUGAUAAUAAAAAAUUAAGAUAUACGAAGUUUACCUAAAUUAUACAGGCAGCUAUUGGCAGAAGUAAAAAGUAAUAAAAUCAGCUACAAUGGAGUAUCAGAAGAAAUGAGGACACAAGUGAAAAUAUAUUAACUCUUACUGUUAUAAACAGUCAAAAGCUACUAUCUAAAGAAACAAUGGAUUCAAUGUAUACAGUUAUGGUUCUAAAAACAAGCCCUAGGGGAAAAAACAAAGAAAGGAAUUCAAAUUAUCAGAAAAAACACCUACGAAUACAUCUAACAAAAAGGUUAGAAGAAAGUUUUAAAAGGGACACCACCUCUACCAAGGAGAUGCUCUCCCUCCCUGCUGGAAACUCAGUCCUUUUCUCUCCCUCUUUAUACCCCUUUGAUUCUCAGUGAGAAUCUAUCACGUUUAACACAACGGGCUCCCUGUCCUUUGCGUCAUAAUCACCACAUCCAGCAUUAGACACAGAUCAGCCAUCCAUGUGAGAGCUCAGAACAGGCCUGCAUCAAUGCUCCGGUUAACCCAAGAACUUUUUCGGCUGCCAAGCUUUUAAAAAAACAAACAAAAAUCCACUUUUUAAAAUUAUAGUUGAUUUACGGCAGGGUGCUCCUUUCUGCUGCACAGCAAAGUGACCCCGUCAUACGUAUAUGGACAUUCCUUUCCUUAUAUCAUCUUCCAUCAGGCUCUAUCCCGAGACUGGACGCGGUUCCAGAUGCUGUGCAGCAGGACCUCAUGGCAUCUCCGUUCUAGAGGCAAUAAUCUGCAGCCACUAACCCCAACUCCCCAUCAGUCCCUCACCCCUUGGUGCCUAGUUCUUAAGUUAGGUCUCUGAAGAAACCUGUCAAAGAGCUCCUUUACAUCCCAAAAUAUUGUUCACUUGCCAAAAAAAAAAAAAAAAGGUUGCAUUGUGAGAAUUGGGUUCUUCUUUCUAUAAAACUAAAGAGGGCAGUUGCAAAUCAAACCAAAUAAACCAGGUUCAUAUAAACCUUCCAAAUCUGCUCCAGUCACAUUAGCUACGUGUGUGUACAGGGACGUGCAUGCACACGUGUGUGUACAGGCACCUGCACGUGUUUGCUCCUUUCUAACUUAUAUACAGGAUGGCCUUGAACGAUGUAUACUCUGUAGCGAAAAUACAAUUGAGAUUUGGGAGCGUUAGCCAACUUGUAUUUAAAAAUAGUUUUUUGAAGGAAACAAUGUUUUGACUCCAAUUAUCCAAUUCCACAAGAGAAAGCGAAGAUGUAACUAAAAGCAAAUGUCACAUAAAGGGAGCCUGCAUCAAGAAAAAGACUCCGCUUAAAGCGAAGAGCAAACUCAAUUAUAUUCCCGACACAAGGGCAGCAAAGUGAUAAAGAAUGAUUGAAAAUAAAAGAUGGGCCAAUGCUAUCAAGCAAUAGACACAGAACAAUGUUUACAUCCAGCAAGCUUAAAUUCGGGACAAAACUAUUACACAAGACAAGUACGGCUGUGCUUAUAAAAAUAACUCCACGAUCAGCUCUCCCAGUAAUUAAUAGCCAUGCAUCAAAUAAGAAAUCAUCAAAAUCACAAAGCAGAAGUACCAGGAAAGAAAAACACAUUUGUAAAAGAAAAUUUUAAUUUACCUCCCUCAGGUCAGAGCAAAAAAUGACUAAGGAUAUGGAUAAUAAAACAGCAAUCAGGACAAGGUAAGAUAGACUUAACUGCUAUAUAUCCAACUCCAUAAUCAGGAAACAAACUCUUUAUCUGGAAGGUAUACUAAAAAGUGACCACCGAAGAGCCCACACUGAAAUUAAAAUCUGAGUCAUCAAAUCCCUUAUAGGAAACGGCUGUGGUAUUUGCAUGGAACCUACACCCUUCCUCUCAUACUUUAAACCGUCUCCAAAAUACUUAAAAUAACCAAUACGAUGUAAAUACUAUGCAAAUAGAUGCCUGCAUGGGGCACAUUCAAGUUUUGCUUUGUAAAGCUUUCUCGCAUUUUUCUCCCCCACCCCCAAAAGUCUCGACCCCUGUGUGGGUGCAUCUGCAGAGGCGGAAACACAAGGAUGUGGAGGCCUGCAAAAUCCAACCACAUGGGUUGUCUGGGAGGUUCCCCAAAAGCAGAACCUGAGAGAAGGAUGCCGUUUGGGUGGGAAACAAGACAAACGCGAGGACCUGGGGAAGGGAGAGGGAGCACAAAGGAAAACCACGACGCGCGAUUUUUUUGUUUUGUUUUGUUUUGAGGCAGUCACGGGGGGCGGUGACUGGGUCUGAGCUUCGCUGGGGCCCCUCCGAAUGCACUUAAGCAUUUUUCCCAUUGAGGGAAAGGUCCGUGGGGGAUUUACCAGUGGAUCCCUGUCUCCCCUAAAUUGAAGGCCCUUCUGGAGAACACGCCCUCCGGCCUUUCUGGCUGAGCUGCAGGCCUAAGGCCGUGGAGAAACGCCUUGGGCAGCGAAGAGGAAAGGCAGAGCAGACACCAUGGACAACCGUCCUGAAGACCAGCCCAGAGGACAGAGGAACGUGUGCUGGCCAGACACCAAGAUUGCCCAGCGUCACGCCCUUGGGGUAGUGGAUGGAGAGAGUGGAUGGAGCCAGCG
rnacentral:lncRNA from 1 species